UAGUAUACGCGUAGACUCAUGCGGUAGUGACCCCCCUUCACAGGGCGCGUGUCGCACGUAUGUUAUACGCACAGGUCUCCGAUAGCAACGAACGUGACCGUACUCUAUUGUUGCAGCGACAAUACCUUUAAACGGGUAUUACCGCUGCUUAGCGAGAUUCGUCUUGCAUUAAACUAUAGAGACCGCUGUUUCUUCUUUAAACCAGAGGAAGGAUACGGCAAUAACAGGUCUGUGAUGCCCUCAGAUGUUCCGGGCUGCACACGUGCUACAAUGAUCAUUGCACUGUGCAUCUAACCCAGUGUGCGCGGACGCCGCCGUGCGUAUAUACUUUAUUGUGUAUGCGUAUCGUGCGUGCGACCGCGCCGAACCUGCUUCGAAAGUAAACAUUUCCAGCGGGUAAUCCAUUAGAAGUAAUGACUCGCAUAGACCAUGGCACACUAUAUGUACCCGCGGGUUCUACCCGGCUCGCCUUUGUGUGAGUGCAGUGCGUAGCUCGUUGUUUGGUACGUGCCACUCCGUAUUAAUUCAUACGUGGGGAUGGAUCAUUGUUUAAUUGUUGGUCUCGGUCUUAACUAGGAAUGCCUUGUACGGGUCUUUGGUUCAACAUACCACCCGGAAUACGUCCCUGCCCUUUGUACACACCGCCCGUCGCUCUUACCGAUGGAUUAUACUAUGAAUCUAUAGGACUGCCAAAGUUGCUCUCGGGCGCUUAGUGGAAAUAUAUAUGAAUAGUGGAUCU
rnacentral:rRNA from 1 species